GUUCCUGGCUCAGGAUGAACGCUAGCUACAGGCUUAACACAUGCAAGUCGAGGGGAAACGAUAUUGGAAGCUUGCUUCCGAUAGGCGUCGACCGGCACACGGGUGAGUAACGCGUAUCCAACCUGCCCACCACUUGGGGAUAACCUUGCGAAAGUAAGACUAAUACCCAAUGAUAUCUCUAGAAGACAUCUGAAAGAGAUUAAAGAUUCAUCGGUGAUGGAUGGGGAUGCGU
rnacentral:rRNA from 1 species